GCCUUUCCCACACACAAAACACCCUUAUGUACACGUAUACGCACAACGCUGCACUACUCUCUGUCUUGGAAUUUUACAUUUUGAUGAAGGAGGAAGCGCGUCAUCCAAUCAGAGCGGCGGCAGGCGGGAGAGACCAUCCCCGCGCAGACAGCGGGGACGAUUCCAGGGCAGCCGACCGAGCGUCGCAAGGACUUCGCCGGCCCGGCCCGCUCCCCCGCAUCCCCUCUAGGCAGGUGGUAUGAUCCGACAGGCUGGAUAAGAACCCCUCCUCUCUGUCUCCCCCUCUCCUGUCAGUGCUAGGGUGUAGCUGCUGAUCCUAUAUACACUACUGCAGAAAGCGGGGAGGCGGAGGAGCCGCGUCAGGUGUCGCCGCUCCGCCACCCGACUCGAGGCGGCGGAACCGUGGCGGCACGGCACCGCGUCGAGGCCAGUUUGUGUGCCUCGGCGAGCCAACCGCAACACAUGCGUCCGCCCGGCCCGGCCCGGCCUGGUCCGCCUUGCCCUGCCCUGCCCUGCCCUGCCCAGCAGCUGGCAUCCUGCAGGAGUCAUCAGGGCCACGCCACGCACGCUAAAAAGGCAACGAUGGAUGUCCAAAGUCAUCUUGUAAAGAUUUCUCUUAUAGAUUGACCAAGCUGUCAUUCGAGAAGUGGAAACCAGGGGAGAGCGGGAAGAGUACACCGCGGGCCCCCCAAAGGAGAAGCGGCGAGAUGGAACCGCUCCUCCCUCUUCUCCCUAAUGGAAAGAGUAUUUCUCCACCAUUUGAGCACCAUCUGCUGGCUCGGUGGGGCGGGACAGCUGGUGUUGUGAAUCAGGCCGCCGCAUUCCAGGGAACGGCUACUUCCCAACACCAGGGUCUCUCCUUCACUACGCGCACACAUUUGACCUCGCUGCGCUUAAAUACCAGUCAGAUGAUCGAUGGACCGCCCGCGUAGAAAAGACGGACAAAUUCUGGAUUUUUAUCAGAGGAAGCUCACAACUCAUCAAUUGCGAUUCAGGUACCCAUCCGUUGAUUUUCCAGGGCGAUUGUCAUGCAAGGCGAACGACUACAAAUGCCAGAAAAUGAUGAAAUAAACAACACACAUCAGCCAUUAUGAACAAACUAUAUACAACUGGACAAGUUGUUAGCGAACGUGCCGUACUAAUCUCCCGUGUGCCAAAUAUCGGCCUCGCGGUGGUGCAGGGCUUGAUUCCGGCUCUGGCCUUCCUGUGUGAAGUUUGCAUGUUCUCCUUGCGGCUGAGUGGGUUUUCUCCCACAUUCCAAAAACAUGCAUGGCAGGCUGAUGUGAUGGAGCAUCUCUGAAUUGUCCCUAAGUGGCUGUGAUUGUGGGUGCGA